rnacentral:rRNA from 1 species
CCUACGGGAGGCAGCAGUGAGGAAUAUUGGACAAUGGACGAGAGUCUGAACCAGCCAAGUAGCGUGAAGGAUGACUGCCCUAUGGGUUGUAAACUUCUUUUAUAAAGGAAUAAAACGAGGCACGUGUGCCUUUUUGCAGGUACUUUAUGAAUACGGAUCGGCUAACUCCACGCCAGCAGCCGCGGUAAUACGGAGGAUCCGAGCGUUAUCCGGAUUUAUUGGGUUUAAAGGGAGCGUAGAUGGGUUGUUAAGUCAGUUGUGAAAGUUUGCGGCUCAACCGUAAAAUUGCAAUUGAUACUGGCAGUCUUGAGUACAGUAGAGGUAGGCGGAAUUCGUGGUGUAGCGGUGAAAUGCGUAGAUAUCACGAAGAACCCCGAUUGCGAAGGCAGCUUACUAGACUGUGACUGACAUUGAUGCUCGAAAGUGUGGGUAGCAAACAGGAUUAGAUACCCUUGUAGUC